UUGACGACAGUCAGUCGUGCGCUGGGCC
rnacentral:sRNA from 1 species